rnacentral:lncRNA from 1 species
GACCUUCUGAAAGUGUCCAUCACUAUUUUACAAGCCUGGCAAGAGCCUCUGAAACACAUAGUGGCAGCAGUGGCUACUCUUCCAGAUGGAUCUGAUACCCUGCUGUCAAGAACAAAGGAGUUGGAGGAAAGAAUUCAAGGACUUCUGGAGGGACUGGAGACCAUACUCAGCAGGGUAAACUCACUCACUCUUCAUAUUCCUGUCCUUAUCUCCUGUGUUGAAGAGGUGAUUUGUUUAAGAGGUGAAAUAUUCAAUAUUCCAUUUCUGAGAUAGAAAUAUAAUUUAAGUAAACAAACAAAUAAAUGAUAUAAUUAUAUAAAAUAACAAAAUAACACAUAUUA